GGUUAAGCGACUAAGCGUACACGGUGGAUGCCCUGGCAGUCAGAGGCGAUGAAGGACGUGCUAAUCUGCGAUAAGCGUCGGUAAGGUGAUAUGAACCGUUAUAACCGGCGAUUUCCGAAUGGGGAAACCCAGUGUGUUUCGACACACUAUCAUUAACUGAAUCCAUAGGUUAAUGAGGCGAACCGGGGGAACUGAAACAUCUAAGUACCCCGAGGAAAAGAAAUCAACCGAGAUUCCCCCAGUAGCGGCGAGCGAACGGGGAGCAGCCCAGAGCCUGAAUCAGUGUGUGUGUUAGUGGAAGCGUCUGGAAAGGCGCGCGAUACAGGGUGACAGCCCCGUACACAAAAAUGCACAUGCUGUGAGCUCGAUGAGUAGGGCGGGACACGUGGUAUCCUGUCUGAAUAUGGGGGGACCAUCCUCCAAGGCUAAAUACUCCUGACUGACCGAUAGUGAACCAGUACCGUGAGGGAAAGGCGAAAAGAACCCCGGCGAGGGGAGUGAAAAAGAACCUGAAACCGUGUACGUACAAGCAGUGGGAGCACAGAGCAAUCUGUGUGACUGCGUACCUUUUGUAUAAUGGGUCAGCGACUUAUAUUCUGUAGCAAGGUUAACCGAAUAGGGGAGCCGAAGGGAAACCGAGUCUUAACUGGGCGUUAAGUUGCAGGGUAUAGACCCGAAACCCGGUGAUCUAGCCAUGGGCAGGUUGAAGGUUGGGUAACACUAACUGGAGGACCGAACCGACUAAUGUUGAAAAAUUAGCGGAUGACUUGUGGCUGGGGGUGAAAGGCCAAUCAAACCGGGAGAUAGCUGGUUCUCCCCGAAAGCUAUUUAGGUAGCGCCUCGUGAAUUCAUCUCCGGGGGUAGAGCACUGUUUCGGCAAGGGGGUCAUCCCGACUUACCAACCCGAUGCAAACUGCGAAUACCGGAGAAUGUUAUCACGGGAGACACACGGCGGGUGCUAACGUCCGUCGUGAAGAGGGAAACAACCCAGACCGCCAGCUAAGGUCCCAAAGUCAUGGUUAAGUGGGAAACGAUGUGGGAAGGCCCAGACAGCCAGGAUGUUGGCUUAGAAGCAGCCAUCAUUUAAAGAAAGCGUAAUAGCUCACUGGUCGAGUCGGCCUGCGCGGAAGAUGUAACGGGGCUAAACCAUGCACCGAAGCUGCGGCAGCGACGCUUAUGCGUUGUUGGGUAGGGGAGCGUUCUGUAAGCCUGUGAAGGUGUGCUGUGAGGCAUGCUGGAGGUAUCAGAAGUGCGAAUGCUGACAUAAGUAACGAUAAAGCGGGUGAAAAGCCCGCUCGCCGGAAGACCAAGGGUUCCUGUCCAACGUUAAUCGGGGCAGGGUGAGUCGACCCCUAAGGCGAGGCCGAAAGGCGUAGUCGAUGGGAAACAGGUUAAUAUUCCUGUACUUGGUGUUACUGCGAAGGGGGGACGGAGAAGGCUAUGUUGGCCGGGCGACGGUUGUCCCGGUUUAAGCGUGUAGGCUGGUUUUCCAGGCAAAUCCGGAAAAUCAAGGCUGAGGCGUGAUGACGAGGCACUACGGUGCUGAAGCAACAAAUGCCCUGCUUCCAGGAAAAGCCUCUAAGCAUCAGGUAACAUCAAAUCGUACCCCAAACCGACACAGGUGGUCAGGUAGAGAAUACCAAGGCGCUUGAGAGAACUCGGGUGAAGGAACUAGGCAAAAUGGUGCCGUAACUUCGGGAGAAGGCACGCUGAUAUGUAGGUGAAGUCCCUCGCGGAUGGAGCUGAAAUCAGUCGAAGAUACCAGCUGGCUGCAACUGUUUAUUAAAAACACAGCACUGUGCAAACACGAAAGUGGACGUAUACGGUGUGACGCCUGCCCGGUGCCGGAAGGUUAAUUGAUGGGGUUAGCGCAAGCGAAGCUCUUGAUCGAAGCCCCGGUAAACGGCGGCCGUAACUAUAACGGUCCUAAGGUAGCGAAAUUCCUUGUCGGGUAAGUUCCGACCUGCACGAAUGGCGUAAUGAUGGCCAGGCUGUCUCCACCCGAGACUCAGUGAAAUUGAACUCGCUGUGAAGAUGCAGUGUACCCGCGGCAAGACGGAAAGACCCCGUGAACCUUUACUAUAGCUUGACACUGAACAUUGAGCCUUGAUGUGUAGGAUAGGUGGGAGGCUUUGAAGUGUGGACGCCAGUCUGCAUGGAGCCGACCUUGAAAUACCACCCUUUAAUGUUUGAUGUUCUAACGUUGACCCGUAAUCCGGGUUGCGGACAGUGUCUGGUGGGUAGUUUGACUGGGGCGGUCUCCUCCUAAAGAGUAACGGAGGAGCACGAAGGUUGGCUAAUCCUGGUCGGACAUCAGGAGGUUAGUGCAAUGGCAUAAGCCAGCUUGACUGCGAGCGUGACGGCGCGAGCAGGUGCGAAAGCAGGUCAUAGUGAUCCGGUGGUUCUGAAUGGAAGGGCCAUCGCUCAACGGAUAAAAGGUACUCCGGGGAUAACAGGCUGAUACCGCCCAAGAGUUCAUAUCGACGGCGGUGUUUGGCACCUCGAUGUCGGCUCAUCACAUCCUGGGGCUGAAGUAGGUCCCAAGGGUAUGGCUGUUCGCCAUUUAAAGUGGUACGCGAGCUGGGUUUAGAACGUCGUGAGACAGUUCGGUCCCUAUCUGCCGUGGGCGCUGGAGAACUGAGGGGGGCUGCUCCUAGUACGAGAGGACCGGAGUGGACGCAUCACUGGUGUUCGGGUUGUCAUGCCAAUGGCACUGCCCGGUAGCUAAAUGCGGAAGAGAUAAGUGCUGAAAGCAUCUAAGCACGAAACUUGCCCCGAGAUGAGUUCUCCCUGACUCCUUGAGAGUCCUGAAGGAACGUUGAAGACGACGACGUUGAUAGGCCGGGUGUGUAAGCGCAGCGAUGCGUUGAGCUAACCGGUACUAAUGAACCGUGAGGCUUAACCUU
rnacentral:rRNA from 1 species